UACGUAGGGGGCUAGCGUUGUCCGGAUUUAUUGGGCGUAAAGGGUGCUUAGGCGGGUCUUUAAGUCAGAGGUGAAAUCCUGGAGCUCAACUCCAGAACUGCCUUUGAUACUGAGGAUCUUGAGUACGGGAGAGGUGAGUGGAACUGCGAGUGUAGAGGUGAAAUUCGUAGAUAUUCGCAAGAACACCAGUGGCGAAGGCGGCUCACUGGCCCGUUACUGACGCUGAGGCACGAAAGCGUGGGGAGCAAACAGG
rnacentral:rRNA from 1 species